rnacentral:lncRNA from 1 species
AGAUGUUAAGUGGCACUAGUAGUGUUACAGUUCAUGAAGUUGUGAAAGACAAUGGUCAAGUAGUGGUUGCUAAAAAGAGUGCUUUGGAGACUCAGAGAGAAAUUACUGCGAUUUGGAAGAAGUUUGUGUUGGAUAGGAAGAAGCUGAAUGAUAAGAUGAAUGGUGUUUGCUAGAAUCAGCUUGGAAUGGAACAAGGGUGUGUCGUGUCUCUCUAUUUAUGCUUUUAUAGCUUCUUUUCUUGUUAAGGAAGUAAUUAAGUACAUUUUUAUUGAGUCAAGUCAUUUCUAUGAUUUUCAUGAUGAGUGGUUACAAGAAAAACAAAAUCAUGUUUAUACUUUAUAAGCAUGGCUUAAUUUAUUUAUGAAGAAUGAAUCAUUUAUCCUUUUGUGCAUUUUGUUCAAAUUAUGCUCAUAUCUUCUUUGUUUGCAAAACCAACAUAUACCACUGUCACUACACAUAAAUUAGAUUUGGAACAAUGAUAUAUGCUUAGUUCCAUGACUUUCCCAAGAUUAUCUGUAGCACUCAAUACCGGCAUCUUUCCUCAACAUGAUCUAGGCAAUUUCAUUUACAUAGAAAUGUUAAAUGUACUUCAUAAGCUAUGAACACUUGAGGUAUAGAUUGUAAAAACCCAAAACUUUUUCCAUCCAUUGGGCCUUAAAUUAUUUAUAUAGAAAUGUGCAUCAUAAGCUGCGAACACUUCAGGCUAAAGUGUAAAAACCCAAAACUUUUUCCGGCCAUUAAGUCUUAAUGGUCUGUUUAAUAGUCAGGAUAUGAAGACAUGAUAUGAUAAAAUACGAAAAAUAGAUAAACUAUUUAUUUGAACCUUGUAUGUUAUAUUGUCUGUUGUGUGGACUGUUUGGCAAUGUUGUUGAAUAUAAACACUUUAAACCGAAAUGAUGUCCAUAUAGGGAUGAAUAUAAACGUUUAUUUGAAGGGCAUGAUGAAAAUUUAAUUAAGGACAUCAUGACCUUCAAAUAAUCUAAGUGGAUAAAUAUGUUGAUCAAUGGUUUUUGUGACAAGUUAAUUAAGGGCAUCGUGAUCGUUAUUAACAUCUAAAGGUUGCUUAAUUAAAUGUGAGAUUAGUGUUAGUGGAUAUUGAUUUAUUAUAUAUCUAACGCGUUGUUGAUAUAGGAGGAGGCAAUAUUGGAUACUCACGUUCAAUCUUGUCCAUAAAAUUGACAAGAUAAAGAUUGUAUGUUCAACUUUUAUUAUUCCUGAAUCACUUUCAUGUUGAUUGGCAAUUAUUAUUUGUGAACUAUUUACUAAUCAUAUUAUUACAUGAAAAAUUAUUAUAUGCAUAUUUUUUUUGACAAAUUCAUUCAAAUUGAUAGAGUACAUCGAUAUAAUGCAAAUUUGCUAAAAAUAAAAAUGAUGAAUCUAUGAACAGGCUCACAACAUCCAUGUUAAUAGCAUAAAAUGACAAAAUACAAAUGCCUACACAUAUGACUAUAUUUAAAUCUCCAAAAUAAUCAUGUCUCCAGAUCUACAGCGUGGAUGACGCUAAAGCCAUUGAUUGGAUCUGCACUGGAUCAAAGCUGAUGACAAUCUGAACCGAUCAAAUACUUGAGAGAAACAAGAAAAACAAACAACGUCGCACAAAGACGACGAACAAACCAACGUCACACGAAGACGACGAAAUCACAAAAUAAAAAACAAAAUAGAUAUGAAAAUCACUUAUUUCAAUAAAAGGGAAAGAGAAAAACGAGUUAGAGGGAUGAUUUUGGCUAUUCUGCCACUGCUUCUCCUACUAUGCCAGUAAUAUACUCUAAACUCUAAAUUAUUUUCUUAAUCUUAGAUUAAUUGAAUUUAAUUGAGAUUUUAUGAUAAAGUUUAGUCUUAGAUUGAUCCUUCAGCAGAACACUAACUGAAAUGACAUCAAACUGUUAUAUUAUUGACUAAAUAAAAUAACUAAAUAAAAUAACUUUUUUCAAAAAGUUAAUUUCGUGACUGCAUCGUAGAAGUGCCAUUAGAAAAAUCCACCUUAUUCAAUCAAAGCAAUAUGUCUCGAGAUAUUUCCUACUCCGUAUUAUCAUCACUUACAAGAUAGAUCACAAUCACAACUAUACAAAUAUCAAAAUAGUAGAUACAAACUAUCACAUGCGGUUAAUUUACAAAUCAAAGCUCAAGAUCUCUCUCAAAGAAUACGAAUGAAAGUAUAGAGAAUUAAACGGAAAAAAUUAUUCUUACACAUUUAUUUGGUGUAUGAUCUUAUAAUUCAAAUGGAUUAUUUUUCUUUUUUUAGGAAAAGUUGCUUAUAGCAUUUUAUUAAAAUGAUCAAUAUCAAUAUCAAAAUAUAAAUAUAAAUAUGCAUAAAAACAACACUAUUUUCAUUUGAAACUUUUAACUAUAUAUGAUAACAACAUCACUUAAAAUUUGCAUCCGACCAUGGAGAUUUAGUUCUUUAGUCUAUACUAUUGUUCUUUAAAAACUAUUAAUAUGUGUUCAUUUUAAAUCACACCAUCAUUCACAUGAUAAACUAUUACUUUACGUAAUCAUAUUGACUUUAGGUAUAUGUAAUGAUCCUAAAUAGAGAAAGCCAUGUCAUCAAAUGAAGCUAGCAAAUUGGCAUAGCUGUAAGGACACGUGGGCAAGUAUUGGAUGAUAGAUGUACAUCAACAAGGAGUGAACAAGGCUUAUAUAAGGGAAAUAAGGCAUUGAAUAUGUUAAUGAAAUCCUUCUCUUAUUCUCUUUUCCCCUUUAUCCUUCUUUAUCUUUCAAUUUCACUUCUAUUAUGUACUUAAAAGAUUAUUGGGUUAAUAGGUCUUUAUCCCCUAUAAUAUAGGUCACUUUUGAUUUUGCCUUUGUAAAAAAAAAAAAUUCGAUUCGGUCCUUGCAAUUUUAUUUUUUUUUGGAAAACCCCCCUAGACCAGCUGACUGUGCAUUUUUGCUGAUAUGACAUGUUGUGUCAGCCUUUUUGGAUGACGUGGCGCGCUGACUGUAUAAUUAUUAUUAUUUUUUAAUUUUUUUAUGAGAUACACAUGGCAUUAAUGAUUAUUUUUAAAAAAGAAUAAAAAAAAUUCUUAAAAAAUUAAAAAAAACGAAAAAAUAUUAUAAAAAAAAUGAAAUAAAUUCUAGAAAAAUAAAAAUAUUAAUAAAAAUGAAAAAAAACGAAAAUAAUUAUGGAAAAAUUAAUAAAAAUCUGCUAAAUGAAAAAUAAUGAAAAAAUCUAGAAAAUUUCAUAAAAAAAUUCUGGAAUAAUUUAAAAAAUCUGGUAAAAUGAAAAAAAUAUAGAAAAUUUAAUAAAAUAAAAUCUGGAAAAAUUAAUAUAUUUCAAAAAAUUCAUAUUUUCAUAUUAUUUUCAAUAGAGGAAAAAUUUAAAAAUUAUGGAAAAAUAAAAAAAAUUCAUAUUUUUUUUUCCGAAAUUAAGAAGUUUUAUUUUAUAAAAAAACUAAAAAAUUCAGCAACUUAAAAUAUUUCAAAAUUUAAUCUAAUAAGAAUAGAAUUAAAAAUGAAAGUUCAAAUUUUUCUUUCGAAAUUAAAAAGUUUAUUUUUUUAUUUUUUAUACAGAAAAUCAAAAUAUUGGAGAGUAUAUUCAUAAUUAAAAAAACAUAACAUUAGAUCAUGAAGAAUAGAAUUUCGAUAUAUAUUAAUUUUUUUAUAUAAUUUUAAUUUAAUUCAGAUUUUUUUUAAUAAUUUUUUUGAAAAUUUUAAUAUAUAUUAAUUUUUUUUUAUUUUUCCAGAUUUUUUUUAUUAAAUUUUCUAGAUUUUACUAGAAUUUUUAAAUUUUUCCAGUUUUUUUUAUUUUUUCAUAAUUAUUUUCGUUUUUUAAUCAUUUUUAUUAAUAUUUUUAUUUUUCCAGAAUUUAUUUUAUUUUUAAAAAAAAUCAUAAAUGCCACUUGUACCCCAUAAAAAAAUAAAAAUAAUUAUACAGUCAGCGCGCCACUUCAUCCGAAAAAGGUGACGCAACAUGCCACAUCAGCAAAAAUGCACAGUCAGCUGGUCUAGGGGGGUUUUCCAAAACAAAAAAAUUUUACAAGGAUCGAAUCCAAAUUUUUUUUUUUACAGGAGGCAAAACCAAAAGUGACCUAUAUUACAGGGAGUAAAGGCCUAUUAACCCAGGAUUAUUUCUCUUGUGUUGCUUAGUUCUCUGAUCUAUUACAGUAUACAAGUUUUAUUUUAAAGUGGAAAAAUAGAUAAAUCACACUUUAGUGUAUAUCAUAAGAAAAAUUGUGAUUGGUUGGUUUAUAUAAUCAUGGAAAAAUCUACUAAAUUUAAGACAACACAUCAAAAUAAACAAUUAAUUUAAGACCUUCAUAAUUACUACAAUAGAUUUUUAUAAUUUUGUAGUGACGUGCUCGUUAUUUCAUAAUUUUUAAAGGCUAACAAAGCAUUCGAGGCUCUUUAAAAAAUUAAAAUGUAAGCAAAAUAAAAAUUAUAAGCGUGAAAAAAAUCAAAAGAGUAACAAUAUUAUUAUAUAAAUAAAAAAUUAUAGUCUUAGAAGUAAAACAAAAACUAUUUUAUACCUUAACAAUUAAAGCUAUUCAGAUAGACAAUAGAGUUAGAAAGAAAACAUGAUAUGCCUGAUAUACAAUAUCUUUAAAAUUACGACCAAAUUAGACGGUCUAAUUUUUUUUUUUGAAAGAAUCUAAAUAAUAUUUUUGUUUACUUAUUUGAUUGUAUUACCAUCAUAUUAGAGCACAAAGACAUAACUACAAUGUUAAAAAGAGAAAAUUCAAAUUAUUAGGUGUCAAUUCAAUAAUUAAAUGACAACUUAUGAAACACUCAUACAAGAUGUUUGUGCAUUCUCUUUCGUCUAAUACUAAAACAAUACUCAUGAGAGAAUAUAAUCUAUUGGAGCCUAUAUUUCAAUACACGUACAUCGAUUAUUUAUACACUUCGGUACAAGAAGAAUAGUUGGACACUUCACUGCUAUGCAAUCAUAAUCUAUUCUACAAAGUAACUUUGGUACAGCAAGACGUCGUGCUGUGAUGAAAUAAGAGACCAAAAGAAUGUAACUAAAUUGAGAUGAAGUGUUCUUUACAAAGUAAUUAGGGAAAUUUGAAAAGGAUAAAAAAUAAAUUACCUACAAUGUUUGUUGAAACAAAAAACAGGUAAACAAUAAAGAUAAUAACAUAUACUACAAACUUGGCAAUUUCACCCAUAUUCAUCCACCCUCCUUAUUCAUUUAACAAAUUGCUUUAUUACUUUAUAUAAUUUAUAAAGUUAAUCAUCUUCUUACAUCAAACAAAUAGUUUUUAGCGCUUUUGGAGUUGCAAAGAAAUAUAUCAUAAUAUUAAAAUCAUCAAUAAAUGUCUGUUAAAUACAUCAAUGUGAUAAGUUUUUUUCUUCUUCUUUUGCAUAUUUAAUAGAGCAGUCACAUAAAAAAUUUACCCGUCAUAAACUCUCAUUCUUUUUUAAACUAAUUUUUCAUUAUUAUUUUAUAGCCUAUCAUGACACGUAAAGGGAAAUCAUAAAAUAAUAAGUUAUUUGAUCAAUAACUAAUGCCAAAAUAAAAAAUAAUAAAAUGAAUCCACUUGAAUUAGCCUAGUGGUAUUAACUUGGGACCUUAGUGAGUACUCCUCCUCAAGGUCACAUGUUCGAUUCUCUUUAGUGUCAAUUUGGAUGGACUAAUUUAACUUCUUAAAACAAAUGUCAAAAUAAGUAUAUAUCGUCCAUAUUUCUGUUUGCAUCGAUAAAAAUAAUAAAAAAAGUGUAAAAUAAAAUUAUUUGAUCGAUAAAAAUGACAAAAAAUAUUAAGUAUUGAAAAAAAAACUAAAAUCCAACAUUUAGUAAGGAAAACACUUCAUUAGAGUUUAUAAACAGGGACAUCCAUCAUCUUACACAAAUCAACUUUGUAAAGAUGAGUUAGAUGAAGAAUUUUAAACAAAUAAUCAAAUUUAUAGAUAUGAAAUAUAGCAUGUUAUUAAUUAGUAUAUUGACAUAUAACCGUGUACCUUGUAUGGUUGAAGGAGAUCAUGAAGAAUUGGAAGUGACUUUUGAGAAUGGUUUUGAGAGCUCUUCUGCCGCCUUACUUAUCGAGCAUUCUUUCAGUUUACAGUGUGGCUAACAUAAUGGGAUAGUUAGCUUAUAUACUCAUCAGUGGAGACAGGGACCUCUCAAAUGGGCUGACUAACAAGAAUGGUCCAACCCAUCACGGUCCGUUCACAAUAAGCCCAAUAUAAAUACCAAGUACAAUAACAUUAAAUAUUUAAUAAUAUAUAAUACAUUUAUAUUUUAAUAAUUAAUUAAAGUAAAUUCAAAAUAUUCAACAUUAGAUUUAUAAAAAAACUAAUAUUUAGCGAAGAUUAAUAAUGAAAUAAGUUCAUGAAGAAUUUGAGAAAUACAAUGGUCAAGUAGUGUUUGGUAAAAAGAGUCUUUUGGAGACUCAGAGAGAAAUCAUUGCGAUUUGGAAGAAGUUUGUGUUGGAGAGGAAGAAAUUGAAUGAUAAGAUGAAUGGUGUUUGCUAGAAUUAGCUUGGAAUGGAACAAGGGUGUGCCGUGUCUCUCUAUUUAUGCUUUUAUAAUUUCUUUUCUUGUUAAGAAAGUAAUUAAAUACAUUUUUAUUGAGUCAAGUCAUUUCUAUGAUUCUCAUGAUGAGUGGUUACAAGAAAAACAAAAUCAUGUUUAUACUUUAUAAGCAUGGUUUAAUUUAUUUAUGAAGAGUGAAUCAUUUAUCCUUUUGUGGUUUUGUUCAAAUUAUGCUCUCAAGGGUACAUUCUUAGUUCCAUGACUUUCUUAAGAUCAUAUGUAGCGCUCAAUAUCAAUAUCUUUCCUCAACAAGAUUCAGAGAAUUUCAUUUAUAUAGAAAAGUACAUCAUAAGCUACGAACAAUUGAGGCUAAAUUGUAAAAAUCCAAAACUUUUUCCAGCCAUUAGGCCUUAUAUAUAUUUUGAUUUGAUAUGAGAAACAUCGCCCUUUACAAAUACUAAUUGUAUCUAAAAUAAACAGAAAAGAGGCGUUGCAACACUUGAUUUUUUGUUAUCCCUUUUAAAAGCUUGUAAACUAUUAUAAUACUUGCAAGUUUACAAGCUUUUAUACUAGUUUACUAUCCCUCUUAUACUAGUUUACAAACUUUUAACAGGGAUACACAAACAAUCAAAUGCCGCAACGCCUCUUUCCUUUUUAUUUUAGAACAAUCAGUAUUUGUAAAGGGAAACCAUGUUGUGAUUUAUAUGUGCAAAUGAUGCUGCCACUUUGUGCAUGUAAGUAUUUAUUGUCAGGGACCUUAGUGACAAUAAGUGUUUACUGUCAGGGAUCUAAUUGAAAGUCUUCCGCAACCACAAAACAGCUUCAUGGAGGAAGAUGACCCAGUUCUUGACGAAGAACAACAUUUCAUUGGGACGAGUUUAAGAAUAUUGAUUUUCGGUUCAGGGAUCAAAGUGACAAUUUUCUACUUUCAAUUCAGUCCCUCCAACAUCUAUACUUCAUGUCAUCAUAAAAUAUUUGCCACAUCAACAGUUAACAAAAUUAUUUAAUGUCAUGAACUAAAGUGAUAAUGAAAGUGCAUAUUCAAUGACUACUUUGUAAUUAAUCCUAAGAUAGAGACUUUUGUGACCGAGGUGCAAAAUGAAGGAUCAAAGUGAUCAUUUACUCAAAAGAAAAUAGUACUCACUCAUGCUUUGAAAAAAUCUACAUAGAAAAGGAUAUGCAGUGGAUUAGGAAAAAACAGAAAGUGAUAUUUCGAAUCUCUUUUGGGAAACUACCCUUCUAUUGUCUAUUGUCCAGCUUUGAUAAUAUGGUUUAUUGUACCACCAUUUGAUAUAAUUAUAAUCAAGUUUUUUUGGCCUAACUCGUUUACAAUUGCUAAAAAUUAAAAUAUCUCUAAUUCUUAAUUAUUGUCAAAAAAUAUUUUCAAAAAAAAAAAAAAAGGAAAAAAUAAUAGGUACGUACCUCACCUAUAAAUCUUAUAUGAUGUCACAUUAUUGAUCUUGUUCUAGCAUCUAUCAUAGAAAAAGCAACAUAAUCCGCAUAAUAAGGUGGCCGUAAAUUAAACCUUUUAUUUAAUUUUUAUGAGUAAUUCAUUAAAGACCUUCCUCAAUACUAUAAUCAGACCAAAUUUUUUAUUAAAUGCUAAUCACAUUGCAUAAUCAACACUCUAAUUCAUGUGGCCCAUUUAUUAUUUUCAUUUUAUUACAUUGACUAAUUAAUGUAAGGUUAGGUAGGUGGGUAUUUUCAGAGCUUAGAAGGGGCCCAUGACAAUAAUUUAGUGAAAUACAGUGGUCUUUUUGUUCACAUAUAUGAAAGUUCCAUUAACUUCUGUGUACUAGAAAGAUUCAUCACACAAUUGCUUGCUUGUGUUUUCACUUCCUUUCCUCCAUGGAAUUGGACAUUGGAAUCACUCAUUCAGAUUUAACUCUUGGUAUUUUUGAUAUCCUUUUCACUUGCUGAUUUAUUUCUUUUUAUUUUUUUCAUUCUGCUUUUUCUUUGACCAAGAAUAUUCUACUAGAUGACACUUGGCACCACUAUGAUCUAAUUCUACUUGUUUGUGAUCUUGGUCUAUAUUUAGAUUGAUAGUGAAUCUUGUAGAAUCACACUUUGCCAUCAUGAUUUUGAGAAAAGUCACACUUUGAAACUUCAAUAGAAUUACAAUGUCGUUAUUUUGCCAAACUCAUCUCUGUUGCAUAGACACAAUUCUGAUUGAAGGUGUGUCUCGGUGUACGACACAUAUUUUGUUUCCUAUACCGACAUGACACCCAUAUUUGUGAUUACAGUGAAUUAUGUCAAUUUUUUGAAAAAUUAUCUAUAUCCGGUGCCGUGUCUGCGUCCGUCCUUCAUAGAAACUCAGUAUAUGUUUGCUUAUUUUGUCUCUAUGGUGUUUCUACAGCUGAGUCUUGGUUUGCAGCUGAUACAUCUAGUGGAUAUCUUGAAGAUGCAAUCAAUGGCUGGGAUAUUUGGUGCAAGCAACAUAACUUACCAACCUACUCUCAAGAUCAAAAGGUUAAACUAACAACUAUGCUUGGUUUCAUGUUCUAUACAUUUGCUUAAUUGUUAUUUCAUAGUUUUAUUUGUCAAUUAUGUUGAAACUUUAUAAGAUAUAUUAAUUAUUAACAAAAAGCCAAUGUUUGGUUGAUCAGGAACCUCUAUUUCCAACAUUUUCUUCCAAAGCAGCCCAAUUACUUCAAGGUAUGUAUAUAUACCCUUGUGGAAUGUGGUUGCAUCACUUUCAAUCAUGUAUUACUAGAUUUGGAAAAUCAAUCAUUUGAAAAUAAUUUUGGUUAUUUAUCUAGUCCAAUUUAUCAUCUCUGUUUCUUGUUUACUGAUUCAGCAGCUAACAUUUCUAAGGAGUCAAGAAUUUGCAAUAAAUGACCAACCUAACAUUUUAACUUUAGGCUAUUAUUUCUAAUUUUGGUAGUAUUGAAAGUAAUUGAACUAUAUCCACCACUGACACUGUAAAUUAUAUCUUUACAGACCAUAAAAAAUUCAGCACUAUGAACCUAUCAUCAUCACAAAAUCAUACACAUUCAGCUGCAGAAAAACAUGAUUCACCUCACAGAAGUUGUGCAUCAAGAGAAUUAAAAGAAAACGGUGCUUCUAUUUCAAGUACAAAAUUCUUUUACUGUUUUAACACAAGAACAUUUUCUUGAACCAUCAUUUCAUGUCUCUUUUCUAAAGUAAUUUUUUAUGACUAAAAUGUGUCCUUUUGUACCAUUAUGUUUUGAUGUAACUAGGGGGACAGUGGAAGAAAAUAGCUUAUCCAUUUGAGUUGGUGAAACCUGGAGGAGUUGAAGGGGAAACAACAAUUAAAGAUAUAAACCACCAAAUGAUGAUGAGUCCUUCAAAGCCAAUUCCACAUCCUGUGGCUGUAGAAGAUUAUGGGACUCAUUCAUGUAUUUCAAACCGUGGUUAUGGUAUUUCAGGAAAAGAAGUGGCAGCACUUACUAGAAUUCAAACUAGGGGUAGAGGCUCCAUUACCAUUAUUAGGACCAAAGGUUGAAUUAAAGUGAAGGCUAUUUCACUAGUGCAUGUUUAGGGUUAGAGUUAGUUUCAUGAAAUUACGGUAACAACAUAAUUUUAAUGAAAUUUUACGGUGUAGCUUUUACUAAAAUUACGGUGGCACACCAUGAUUGUGCCGAACUCGUGGAUGAUCUAAACAUACUUUUGUUAGUAUGUUCUUAAUUUUUGUAUCAUAGUAAGCCUUCAUAGUUUAUACCAAAUAUGCAUAAAUGUAAUGAGAUGAAAAUAGUCAAAAAUGUUUGUUGUAGUAUAAAAGUUAGUUUGAAAUUUCCCCCAGCCAGUGAUUGAAUUUAAAAUAUUUGUCUUUGGAAUUUUGUCAAGAUAGAGAGCUAGCAUAUUUCAUUUCAACUAACCAGCCACAAUAGAUCAGGUCAAAGAUGCAAAUUCAAAGAGUUGGUCAGUAGUCCAAUCACUUAUAACUUUUACGAUAAAAAUAUAAUUUAAAUGCUCUUUUUGUCCCUUAACUAAAAAAAAGAUUGUUUUAGGAUUUUAAGUUUUUUCUUAGUCUCGUUUUGGUCCCUCCUGUUAGGUUUCCGUUAGGGUUUUAAAAAAAAUUAACUCCUGGACACGUGUCACCUUGUCAUUGGCUCUGAGUUUUUUUUUUUUUUUUUUUUUUUUUACAAAAAAAAACUACUAUUUUUUUAAAAAAAAUCCCAAAGCCAAUGACAAAGUGACACGUGUCACCUUGUCAUUGGUUCUGGGAAUUUUUUACAAAAAAAUAAAAUAUAUAUAUUAAAAAAAAUUAUUUUUUUUUAUAAAAAAAAUUAUAAUUUUUUUUUGUAAAAAAAAAAAAAACUUAGAGCCAAUGACAAGGUGACACAUGUCCACACUUAACGUUUUUUUUUUUAAAACUAACGGAAACCUAACCGAAGGGACCAAAACGAGACUAAAAAAAAACUUAAAAUCCUCAAAGAAUCUUUUUUUUUAGUUAAGGGACCAAAGCAAUACCAAUUAAAUAGUUAAGGGACCAAAAGAGCAUUUAAGCCUAAAAAUAUUAAGCAAAUUGUUAAAAAAAAUCAUAAAAUAAUUGACAACCAAAUUUAUAUGGAUUCAAUAAAUUUGCUAUUAUAUAGUGUAAUUGGAUAAAUUUAAAAGGCCACUUAGGACACUUAUUAAAGAAGAAAAAAAGUUUAAAAUUGGAAAACAUAAUUUUUGUUGAAGGCUGAAAUAUGCAUUUCAUCCCUGUAAUUAUAGGCCAUUUGAUUUUUCAUUCCUGAGCUUACUAAUCCUUCCGUUUUGCCCCUGUAAAAAUUAAUCAUUUAAAAUUUCGUCCCUCUUCCCGAUUAAUCACUGCCACGUCAUUAAAUUAGCAAAAUGACAUGAGAAUUGACAAAAAUACCCUCAUCUUCAAUUUUUCAGGCUCUUAACCUUAUUUUCAUUUCUCACUAAACCUUCAUCUUCAUCAUUUUUCUUCUGCAAAACCCUAGCCCUUCUUUUCACCUUCAACUUCAUCAAUGGCGUCACGAUCCUCUCCCCAAACUCCACCACUCCUCUCACCUCAAAGGAAAAAUCCCGAUCCGCCCUCUGUCUCCUCAAAACUCCUCCGAUUCAUCCUCCCAACAAUAACAAGAUCCCCCUUCGCGCUCGCCUUCACCGGAAUCGCCGCGGUGCUUGCAAUUGCGUAACCUCGUUAUCGCCUUCAUCUUUGAACAUCCCUGUGCAAGUGCCACCCCAAAGAAACCAACAAUGAAACGACGUAACAAGGGCAAGUUAGAGACAAAAGCAACAACAUAGAAGUUGAAGAAUAUGGAUUGGAAAUGGUGAAUUAAGGUUCUGGGAUUGUAAACACUACAGAUUGGAAAUGGUGAAUUAAGGUAAUGGGAAUUGGGAAUUAGGAAAACUUAGAAUUAGAAUUGGAAAUUGAAAACACACCACGAAGAAGAAUCGGAUUGGAAUCAGAAUUGGAAAUUGAAAACAUACAAGUUCUUUGGAUGUUGUUUCUUUGUUUCUUUGAUUGAGGGGUGGUAGAAGAAGAGUAUGAAGGAGAGAAGAAAACAGUUACGGUGGUGGAAGAGAAGAAGGAUGAAGAAGAUGAUGAGGGUAUUUUUGUCAAUUCCCAUGUCAUUUUGCUAAUUUGAUGACGUGACAGUGAUUAAUCGGGAAGAGGGACAAAAUUUUAAAUAAUUAAUUUUUACAGGGGCGAAAUGGGAGGAUUAGUAAGCUCAGGGAUGAAAAAUCAAAUGGCCUAUAAUUACAGGGAUGAAAUGCAUAUUUAAGCCUUUUUUAAAAGGUUGAUUGUAAAUUUUCUAACAUAAUAUUUUUAUAUUUUUUUCCUCAGCCAAUGUCUUAAGCCUAAAGACACUCAUUAACAUAUUUCAAUUUUAAAAUAUCCAUUUUGGCGAUACUCAAGAUGGACCAAUAUAGUUGAUAAUUUUAAAAUAUCAAAACUUUUAUCAUAAGUGUCUUGCUUUUAUGCAUGCCUUUUAGGAGGUGGUGAGAAAAUUAGGAAAAUAAAUUGGAUUAAAUGAGACAAUUUUUGUUUGGAUAAGGAGGCAGAUGGGUUGGGUAUGAGGAGGAUGUGAGAGUCUAAUAUAACUUUUUGUUCAGCAAGUAGUGCUGGAGGAUGCAGACGGAGCCGAAUAGUUUAAAACGUUAGGGGUUAAAUAUGGUAUUGGUUGGGUGUGUGUGUGUGUGUGUGUGGGGGGGGGGGGGAGGGAAAGAGGGCACGUGGAUUCAUCAUGGUGGAUGGAGGUUGGCGGAAUUAGACGAGAGAAUAUGUUUGAAAUGGGAAGUUGGUUUGAAUGACAAUUUGGUGAGAGUGGUUGGAGGGACUAAAACGUUUUGCUAGUCAAAUAUGUGGUUGGAACCAGGGGCAAUAUAUCAUAGGUUCUGUCGCCUUUUUGAUUUGGUGGAGAACCAGUUAGGGUUAGAUGUUAAUAAGUAGUUUAGGUUGAGGAGUAGGAAGAGAUGCUUGGUAUUGGCGUCAUUGGUUACUACCAUGGGGUGGGGGUGUUGAGGUGGGUUAGUGUUGUUGAUUGUUGUGUAAUUAUUUUGUAAGAGUGGUUGGAUAACACGUGGGAUUGGUAGCUAGACCUGGUAAAGGAUAUGCAGUUCAUGGGGUAUACAAUAUCUUGACAAAUGUUGAUGAGCUGUCUCAGUCUAAAUUCACAAACAUAUCAUGGCAAAAGGCAACUCCUUUAAUGGUGACGUUGUUUGGUUGACAGAUGUUACAAAAAUGGAUUCCUACUAAAGAUAACUUGCGGCGGCGACUGAUAUUAACGCAAAAUAAUAUUCUUUGUUCGGAUGGGUGUGACAUGUAGGAGAUUUUUAAUCAUCUUUUUCUUAGUUGUUCGUUCUUCGACGAUCUUUGGCAUUUGGUUCUACAAUGAUUUGUCAUGCAUUACGUUUGUCCAUACAUUAUUUCUGAGCAUGUUAUUCAAUUCCUUAAUUUAGGAAGGUUUCCAAAGAUAAUUAUGUCUUCUUUGAAUCUAAUAUGGUUAGCCACGAUGUGGAUUAUUUGGAAGGAGAACUCUCUAACUUUUCAACUAUAACAUGUUUCAAUUAAAUUUGGGACAACAUUCUUAUUCACUCUUCUUAUUGGUAAAAAAUAAUAAUGAGAAAAAGAGAGUAAGCACACAAUAAGAGUAUAAAAUAGAAAGUUGUUUAAAAAUUGUAUAAAAUAAUUAUACAAAUAUUAUUUUUCAAACGAUAAACCCCAGAGGAAACCAAAACCAAAAGACCCCCCUCUUACAAAGAGAAAAGACUAUCUCAAUAAAGAAUCUCUUAAAUUCCAACACCUUUCAUAGAUAGACAAGUUGGAAUCUUUAAUCUACUCAAGCUUCAUUGUCAAGACAACAUUUUAAUCUCUUCCACCAUAUCUUCAAUCACCUUGGAAUCGUUAUUAAAAAUAAUGUCAUUUGUAGAAUUCCAAAUCACCCAAAUAAACCCAUGUCAAACUAAACAAAAUCCCUUUCAGAACUUCUUAUUCCACACUUCCACAUUCCAACAUUCAAAGUGCAUAAAUAAAUUAUAACAAAUUCAUAUAAUUGUUUUUAAAGAGAAUUCAUAUAAUAUUAGUUUUCAAUUGAUGUUCAACUUGCCUAUAUAAACGUAAAAAAAGAACAUGCCUAUAUAAUAAUAGCUUUUAUAUAUAUAUAAAAAAAAAAAAAAAAAAAUCUACCCAAAAAAAAAAAAAAAAAAAAAAAAAACUUGUUAUAUAAAUUAACAGAGUAUUGAAUAUGCAUUUUUCAUGCAUUUUGUCUUGUCCAACGCUGAAUCACAGAAAAUAUGUUGGAGAAUCAUUCAACGGGCGAUAUGUGGUAUAUCAUACUAAUAGUCAAAGUUGAUGCAUCAUAUAGCACCAACCAAACAUGUUCAAAAAAAU